rnacentral:rRNA from 1 species
UGCCGCGUGSRGGAAGAAGGCCYUCGGGUUGURAACUUCUUUUCUCGGAGAAGAARCWAUGACGGUAUCUGAGGAAUAAGCAUCRGCUAACUCUGUGCCAACACCCGCGGUAAGACAGAGGAUGCAAGCGUUAUCCGGAAUGAUUGGGCGUAAAGCGUCUGUAKGUGGSUUUUCAAGUCCGCCGUCAAAUCCCAGGGCUCAACCCUGGACAGGCGGUGGAAACUACCAAGCUGGAGUACGGUAGGGGCAGAGGGAAUUUCCGGUGGARCGGUGAAAUGCUUACAGAUCGGAAAGAACACCAACGGCGAAWGCACUCUGCUGGGCCGACACUGACACUGAGAGACGAAAGCUAGGGGAGCGAAUGGGAUUAGAUACCCCRGWASUCCUAGCCGUAAACGAUGGAUACUASGCGCUGUGCGUAUCGACCCSUGCAGUGCUGKARCUAACGCGUUAAGUAUCCCGCCUGGGGAGUACGUUCGCAAGAAU